rnacentral:rRNA from 1 species
AUGGCACGUCCACCAACAAACCGGGAAAACAUAAUCUUAUGGCACACAAUGAGGCAACGAAGAGUGAAAAUACUCAUACUUUUAUAUCUGUUGUUGCAAAUCUUCAUGAUGUUACUUAGGAGGAGUCGAUAUAGGAUGCGUCGAAUUAGGAAACCUUCUUGGUAUGACCCAAUUACUCGAGCACAAACCCUGAACAACAAGAUACGAGUAAGCGAUACAGAAUGCAUUUUCCAACUACAGAUGGAUAGGCGUUGUUUCAGAGUGUUAUGUUCUUUGGUAAGAAAAAUAGGUGGGUUGAAGGAUACUAGGCAUAUGAGCGUGGAAGAAUCGGUUGCCAUGUUUCUUCACAUACUUGCACAUGAUGAGAAAAAUCGAGCAAUCCAUCAUGAUUUCCAGCGUUCACCUGAAGUAGUAAGUCGGAAAUUCCAUGAAGUACUAGGCGCAGUUUUAAAACUCUGGAAAGUGUUGCUUAAGAAGCCUCGACCAAUUCCAGCCAAUUGCGCUGAUGGAAGGUGGAAGUGCUUUAAGAAUUGUUUAGGUGCCUUAGAUGGGACAUAUAUAGAAGUUCAUGUGCCCAAAACUGACAAACCAAGAUUUCGUUCAAGAAAGAAUGAAGUUGCAACAAAUGUUCUUGGCGUAUGUGCGCCAGACAUGCAAUUCAUUUAUGUAUAUCCGGGUUGGGAAGGAUCUGCGGCUGAUGGGAGGGUGCUUCGAGAUGCUUUAUCAAGAUCAAAUGGCCUUAAGGUUCCUCGGGGGUGCUAUUAUCUAGUUGAUGCUGGCUACAAGAACUGUGAAGGGUUUCUUGCUCCAUACAGAGGGCAACGGUAUCAUCUAAAUGAUUGGAAAACCCCCCCAACAAAAAACAGGAAUUGUUUAACAUGCUGCAUUCAUCAGCAAGAAAUGUGA